UACGUAGGGUGCGAGCGUUGUCCGGAAUUAUUGGGCGUAAAGAGCUCGUAGGCGGUUUGUCGCGUCGACUGUGAAAACCUGGGGCUUAACUCUGGGCCUGCAGUCGAUACGGGCAGACUUGAGUUCGGUAGGGGAGACUGGAAUUCCUGGUGUAGCGGUGAAAUGCGCAGAUAUCAGGAGGAACACCCAUUGCGAAGGCAGCUCGCUGGGACGUUACUGACGCUGAGACGCGAAAGCGUGGGGAGCAAACAGG
rnacentral:rRNA from 1 species